GCGGGGCUUGGUGGCACAUGCCUGUAGUCCCAGCUACUCCGGAGGCUGAGGCUGGAGGAUUGCUUGAGUCCAGGAUUUCUGGACUGUAAUGCACUGUGCCUAUCAGCUGUCGGCACUAAGUUCGGCAUCAAUAUGGCAACCUCCUGGGAGCAGGGGGCCAUAAGGUUGCCUAAGGAGGGGUGAACUGGCCCAGGUCGGAAACGGAGACCAGUAGGAGGAUCAUGCCUGUGAAUAGCCACUGCACUCCAGCCUGAGCAACAUAGUGAGACCCUGUCUCU
rnacentral:SRP_RNA from 1 species